rnacentral:rRNA from 1 species
UUCCCUACGGGAGGCAGCAGUGGGGAAUUUUGCGCAAUGCUCGUAAGAGUGACGCAGCGACGCCGCGUGAAUGACGAAGGCCUUCGGGUCGUAAAGUUCUUUCGACAGGGAAGAAAAUGCCUAUAAGUAACUGUGUAUGUAUUGACGGUACCUGUAUAAGCAGCCCCGGCUAACUCCGUGCCAGCAGACGCGGGAAUACGGAGGGUGCGAGCGUUAAUCGGAAUUACUGGGCGUAAAGCGCUCGUAGGCGGUAUGUCAAGUCAAGGGUGAA